rnacentral:sRNA from 1 species
AUAAUUAGGGAUUUGUAUUUUGGCACAAAACAGUAUCGAAUUUUUAUUGUAAAAAUCCACAAGUCUGACAUUUUAUCUUUUAUUCUAGCCAGGAUGUAUUCUUCAUUUGCAUGUGUGUGUUUCUCCUAGAAAGUGGUGCUCUCAAACCUUUCAAAGCACAGAAUUUAUUGUACCCUCUUUAUUUUUACCAAAUUGAAAUGUUUCAGGAUUUCAGAAGCAAGUGCAAUCCAAUUGUGGCUGGAGUUUUCCUGAUAGAGGAUCUGGGUGGUUCCCUCCCCUCCAACUUCUGGCUACUGCCCUUUAUUUCCUUUGUGCAAUAGAAUUCCCUGAAACAGAUUAGGUGGUAAUUAUUACUGAAUUUAGUCAGGAUAAUGGGAAAAGCGACAAAUCAGAUUUAUGUAUUAGGUAUUAUGGAGCUUUCUUUAGCACCCUCCUCCAAGUUUAAUCUCUGACAUGUGUGAUUUAGUAACUUUCUGUCUCUGAGAAGCAGUCUGGACCCAGCUGAAAAAUUUUAUUUAUGGAGACUUGUAAUCAGCCUGAUAUACAGAGAACAUUCUGGACUGGAAAUAUAGUCAGGUACCAAGGUCUGCUAAUUUGGCCACUGCCAGUGAUUCAAAACCACCUCCCCACCCUGAGUAAAAGAUUUGAUAUGAAUAUGAAUGCUAUGAGUCUCCUGGUGAUGUUUUGAGUGUAUAUGUUCCUGUGUGUGUUUGGAAAUCAUAGAGGGUAUUUACCUUGAGGGCUCUUUUGUUGACCUUAUUUAUUUGAAAUUCUUAUUUUAUUUGUAAUGGCAUAUGUAUAUUUUUGUGAUGCUACAUGCAAUCUGUGUAUACUUUUUGUAUAUAUGUGUACAUAUUUGUAAAUAUAUUGGUAUGCAAUGAUACA